AAAGCCAAGGAGAGGAGCUAAGGAAGGCACCAGGAGUCUCCCGGGUACCAGUGAGUACAGUGUGAGUGGACUCGAGCGGAAGGGCUGGUCCUGAAGGCUUCAUCAACAGGGGAUGGCGCGGCAGCCCUCGCCUGAGUCUAGAGACUUCCUGAGGACUCACAGAGAAAAGCUCACCCCAAGUCCCACCUAAGCUCUCCUCAGUUUGAGGGUGAACAACUAUGUGGGAUUCAAGAAGGCGGAGCACAAAGGUGAUGCUCCUGAUCUGUGUGAGGAACACAGAGGGGCCCCCAGGCCCCACACGGGCAGCACGUCUCUCAAGGACAACUGUAGCAAUGAAGUCCACUCUGGCUUGUGCAGCUUCCUGCCUCGGGACUCAGCCCAAGAAAACCAUGCAGGGAACAGUGGGGAGGGUGCUGCUUGUGGGAACCACUGCUAGAAUCCUUCCCAGUUUUAAUUUUGCCUGUAUGUAUAUGUACCAAGUUUGUACAGGAGCCCGCAGAACUGGAAUUAUGUACAGGCAGUUGUGAACUGCCACAAGGGUCCUGUGGACUAAACCUGGAUCUUGGGAGAGCAGCAAGUGCUCUUGGCCACUGAGCCAUCUCUCCAUCCUCGCCUUUCUUUUCUUGAAGGCAGAGUCUCACACUGUAGCCCAGGCUGACCUGCCAAAGCACUGUGAUUACUCCAGUGUGAUCCAUGGUGGCCAGCUUUCUUUUGAAAUCAUUUCUUAUUUAGAAAUAUUUGCAUACAUACAUACAUAUGUUUACUGCCUUAUUUAUCUUAAAAACUGGGUUUUGUUUGUAAUUUUUAAAUUUAAGGUUGUUUGUUUCUUUGUUUGAGAUAGUGCCUCACUCUGUAGACCAGCUAACCUGUAUUUUAUCAUGUAGUCCAAGCUGGCCUCUUAGUCAUAGCCAUGAAGGAUCGCUUCUGCCUCAGCCUUCCGAGUUAAGUUAUGGGAUUACAGCCUUGACAGACUUAAGGUCUAAGUCUUACUUCUCAGGGUUUUCUAAGAGCAAAGCAACAAAGGACACAAGUGGCCAAUGGGGGCGAAUGGAGCACGGUCACAGCUCCCUCCAGUCACCCUGUUAGACUGCAGAGCCCUGACUGGUGUAGACCUGUAGCUCUGUAGACCUGCACAGGCCACAGCAGACCCGGCAGUCUCCAUCUGGGUGGCUGACAGAGAACAGACUUCACCUGGGGUGCUGUCCCCAUAUAACUGCUGGCGGCAAAUGUUCUUCCCAAGGUUCAGUUAACAAUGAACUCCUGGGAAAUAAGCUCUUCACACACCUUUCACUUCCUAGGCCUUUGAUUCAGAUACUUCAAGAGAGCAACAGUACGGGCAGGAGAGAUGGCCCCAUGGUUAAGAAUCCACACUACUCUCGCAGAGGAUCAGAGUUUGAUUUCUUGCAACUAAGUCAGUCAGCUCACAACCGCAGGAAACCGGCUCUAGGGCACCCAGUGCUGCCUUCCGGCCUCCAAGGGUCCUGUGUUCAUGAGCACACCACCACCACACACACAAUUACAAUUAAAAAUACAAUUUGAAGUAUC
rnacentral:lncRNA from 1 species